rnacentral:rRNA from 1 species
CAGAGCGAACGCUGGCGGCAGGCUUAACACAUGCAAGUCGAGCGGGCAUAGCAAUAUGUCAGCGGCAGACGGGUGAGUAACGCGUGGGAACGUACCUUUUGGUUCGGAACAACACAGGGAAACUUGUGCUAAUACCGGAUAAGCCCUUACGGGGAAAGAUUUAUCGCCGAAAGAUCGGCCCGCGUCUGAUUAGCUAGUUGGUGAGGUAAUGGCUCACCAAGGCGACGAUCAGUAGCUGGUCUGAGAGGAUGAUCAGCCACAUUGGACUGAGACACGGCCCAAACUCCUACGGGAGGCAGCAGUGGGGAAUAUUGGACAAUGGGCGCAAGCCUGAUCCAGCCAUGCCGCGUGAGUGAUGAAGGCCCUAGGGUUGUAAAGCUCUUUUGUGCGGGAAGAUAAUGACGGUACCGCAAGAAUAAGCCCCGGCUAACUUCGUG